rnacentral:tRNA from 1 species
GCGGCAAUCGUCUAGUGGUUUAGGAUCUCACCUUCCCAUGGCCUUGGCGCUCGGUUCGAGUGGAAGUAGGUGAGGACGGGAGUUCGAACCUCCCUUGUCGCA